rnacentral:tRNA from 1 species
CGAGCUGUAGCUCAGCUGGAAGAGCGCCGGUCUACGAAGCCGGGAGUCGCAGGUUCGAACCCUGCCAGCUCGA